UACGUAGGGUGCGAGCGUUGUCCGGAAUUAUUGGGCGUAAAGGGCUCGUAGGCGGUCUGUCACGUCGGGAGUGAAAACACGGGGCUUAACCCCGUGCCUGCUUCCGAUACGGGCAGACUAGAGGUAUGCAGGGGAGAACGGAAUUCCUGGUGUAGCGAUGAAAUGCGCAGAUAUCAGGAGGAACACCGGUGGCGAAGGCGGUUCUCUGGGCAUUACCUGACGCUGAGGAGCGAAAGUGUGGGGAGCGAACAGG
rnacentral:rRNA from 1 species